rnacentral:rRNA from 1 species
GAUGAACGCUGGCGGCGUGCCUAAUACAUGCAAGUCGAGCGAACGGACGAGAAGCUUGCUUCUCUGAUGUUAGCGGCGGACGGGUGAGUAACACGUGGAUAACCUACCUAUAAGACUGGGAUAACUUCGGGAAACCGUAGCUAAUACCGGAUAAUAUUUUGAACCGCAUGGUUCAAAAGUGAAAGACGGUCUUGCUGUCACUUAUAGAUGGAUCCGCGCUGCAUUAGCUAGUUGGUAAGGUAACGGCUUACCAAGGCAACGAUGCAUAGCCGACCUGAGAGGGUGAUCGGCCACACUGGAACUGAGACACGGUCCAGACUCCUACGGGAGGCAGCAGUAGGGAAUCUUCCGCAAUGGGCGAAAGCCUGACGGAGCAACGCCGCGUGAGUGAUGAAGGUCUUCGGAUCGUAAAACUCUGUUAUUAGGGAAGAACAUAUGUGUAGGUAACUGUGCACAUCUUGACGGUACCUAAUCAGAAAGCCACGGCUAACUACGUG